UCAAGUUAUUAAGGGUGCAGGGCGGAUGCCUUGGCACUAGGAGCCGAUGAAGGACGUGAUAAGCUGCGAUAAGCUUCGGGGAGUUGCACGUAAACUUUGAUCCGAAGAUUUCCGAAUGAGGAAACUCACUUAGAGUAAUGUCUAAGUAUCAUUAAGUGAAUACAUAGCUUAAUGAGGGGAACUCAGGGAACUGAAACAUCUAAGUACCUGAAGGAAGAGAAAGAAAUUCGAUUCCGUAAGUAGCGGCGAGCGAACGCGGAUUAGCCCAAACCAAUAAAGUUUUCUUUAUUGGGGUUGCGGACAUAUCAUAACGAAGAGGUAUCGUAAUUGAAGAGGUUUGGAAAGACCCACCACAGAAGGUAAUAGUCCUGUAUGUUAAACGAGAAGACUUCAGAUAUGAUCCAGAGUACCACGGGACACGUGAAACCCUGUGGGAAGCAGGAGGGACCACCCUCCAAGGCUAAAUACUACCUAGUGACCGAUAGCGUAUAGUACCGUGAGGGAAAGGUGAAAAGAACCCCGGGAGGGGAGUGAAAUAGAACCUGAAACCCUGCACUUACAAGCUGUGGAAGCACAUUUCUUGUGUGACCGCGUACUUUUUGUAGAACGGGCCAACGAGUUACGUUAAGUAGCAAGGUUAAGCACUUAAGGUGUGGAGCCGUAGCGAAAGCGAGUUUUAACUGAGCGUUCAGUUACUUGACGUAGACCCGAAACCGGGCGACCUACCCAUGAGCAGGAUGAAGCGAAAGUAAAAUUUCGUGGAGGUCCGAACCCACGAGCGUUGAAAAGCUCGGGGAUGACUUGUGGGUAGCGGUGAAAUUCCAAUCGAGCCCGGAGAUAGCUGGUUCUCCCCGAAAUAGCUUUAGGGCUAGCCUCAAGGUGAGAGAUACGGAGGUAGAGCACUGAAUGUCCUAGGGGGUAUUGCACCUACCGAAGACUAUCAAACUCCGAAUGCCGUCAUCUUAUACUUGGGAGUCAGACUGUGGGUGAUAAGAUUCAUAGUCGAAAGGGCAACAGCCCAGAUCGUCAGCUAAGGUCCCUAAAUGUAAGUUAAGUGGUAAAGGAUGUGGGAUUGCACAGACAACCAGGAUGUUGGCUUAGAAGCAGCCACUCAUUCAAAGAGUGCGUAAUAGCUCACUGGUCGAGUGAUCCUGCGCCGAAGAUUUCCGGGGCUAAAACUUACUACCGAAGCUACGGCAUCAGUAAUGAUGGGUAGGGGAGCUUCCCAUACGGGUUGAAGCAUGACCGUAAGGACAUGUGGACAGUAUGGGAGUGAGAAUGUUGGCAUGAGUAGCGAGAUGUGGGUGAGAAUCCCACAGGCCGUAAACCCAAGGUUUCCAGGGGAAGGUUCGUCCGCCCUGGGUUAGUCGGGACCUAAGCUGAGGCCGAAAGGCGUAGGUGAUGGACAACAGGUUGAUAUUCCUGUACUACCGAUAACCGUUUGAGAGAAGGGAUGACACAGUAGGAUAAGCUAAGCACACUGUUGGUUAUGUGUGCCCAAGCAUUGAGGCAGUCAAAGUAGGCAAAUCCGCUUUGAUAAUGCUGGGAUGUGAUGGGGAGCGAAAUUUAGUAGCGAAGUAGCUGAUUUCACACUGUCAAGAAAAGUCUCUAUCGAGGUUAAAGGUACCCGUACCGCAAACCGACACAGGUGGGUGAGGAGAGUAUCCUAAGGCCAGCGAGAGAACUGUUGUUAAGGAACUCGGCAAAAUGACCCCGUAACUUAGGGAUAAGGGGUGCCACCAUCAGGUGGCCGCAGAGAAUAGGCCCAAGCGACUGUUUACCAAAAACAUAGGUUUCUGCUAAGUCGCAAGACGAUGUAUAGGAGCUGACGCCUGCCCGGUGCUGGAAGGUUAAGGGGAUCUGUUAGAGCAAUCGAAGCAGUGAACUUAAGCCCCAGUAAACGGCGGCCGUAACUAUAACGGUCCUAAGGUAGCGAAAUUCCUUGUCGGGUAAGUUCCGACCCGCACGAAAGGCGUAACGAUUUGGGCACUGUCUCAACAACAGACUCGGUGAAAUUGUAAUUCCGGUGAAGAUGCCGGAUACCUGCGACAGGACGGAAAGACCCCAUGGAGCUUUACUGUAGCUUGACAUUGGGUUUUGGUACUACAUGUACAGGAUAGGUGGGAGGCUUUGAAACCAGGACGCCAGUUUUGGCGGAGCCAUCCUUGGGAUACCACCCUUGUAGUACUGGGACUCUAACCAUAGGCCAUGAAUCUGGUCUUGGGACACUGUCAGGUGGGCAGUUUGACUGGGGCGGUCGCCUCCCAAAAGGUAACGGAGGCGCUCAAAGGUUCUCUCAGUACGGUCGGAAAUCGUACGUAGAGUGUAAAGGCAAAAGAGAGCUUGAUUGCAAGACAUACAGGUCGAGCAAGGAUGAAAAUCGGACUUAGUGAUCCGGUGGUUCUGCGUGGAAGGGCCAUCGCUCAACGGAUAAAAGCUACCCUGGGGAUAACAGGCUUAUCUCCCCCAAGAGUCCACAUCGACGGGGAGGUUUGGCACCUCGAUGUCGGCUCAUCACAUCCUGGGGCUGUAGUAGGUCCCAAGGGUUGGGCUGUUCGCCCAUUAAAGUGGUACGCGAGCUGGGUUCAGAACGUCGUGAGACAGUUCGGUCCCUAUCCGUCGCAGGCGUAGGAAAUUUGAGAAGACCUGUCCUUAGUACGAGAGGACCGGGAUGGACGUACCUCUGGUGUACCAGUUGUUCUGCCAAGGGCAUGGCUGGGUAGCUAUGUACGGAAUGGAUAAGCGCUGAAAGCAUCUAAGCGCGAAGCCAACUUCAAGAUAAGAUUUCCCACCGCAAGGGUAAGAUCCCAGAAAGACUAUCUGGUUGAUAGGUCGAAGGUGUAAGUGCAGCAAUGUAUUUAGCUUAUCGAUACUAAUAGGUCGAGGACUUGACCAA
rnacentral:rRNA from 2 species